GCACCCGCACAAGCGGUGGAGCAUGCCGUUUAAUUCGAAGAUACGCGAAGAACCUUACCUGGGCUUGACAUCCCGAUGAAAACUUUUGGAAACAUUAGUCCUCUACUUCGGUAGACAUCGGUGACAGGUGGUGCAUGGUUGUCGUCAGCUCGUGUCGUGAGAUGUUCGGUUAAGUCCGAUAACGAGCGCAACCCCUGUCUUUAAUUGCUAACAUUAAGUUGAGAACCUUAAAGAUACUGCCGAUAACAAAUCGGAGGAAGGUGGGG
rnacentral:rRNA from 1 species